rnacentral:rRNA from 1 species
UCCCGGUUGAUCCUGCCAGAGGUUACUGCUAUUGGUGUUCGACUAAGCCAUGCAAGUCAUAUGUUCCUCGUGAACAUGGCAUACUGCUCAGUAACACGUGGAUAACCUGCCCUUGGGUCUGGGAUAACCCCGGGAAACUGGGGAUAAUACCGGAUAACGGAUAUGUGCUGGAAUGCUUUAUGCGUAAAACGGAUUCGUCCGCCCUAGGAUGGGUCUGCGGCCUAUCAGGUAGUAGUGGGUGUAAUGUACCUACUAGCCAACGACGGGUACGGGUUGUGAGAGCAAGAGCCCGGAGAUGGAUUCUGAGACAUGAAUCCAGGCCCUACGGGGCGCAGCAGGCGCGAAAACUUUACAAUGCGGGAAACCGUGAUAAGGGAACACCGAGUGCCAGCAUCAUAUGCUGGCUGUCCCAGAUGUGUAAACUACAUCUGUUAGCAAGGGCCCGGGCAAG